rnacentral:misc_RNA from 1 species
GCGUCAUGUCUAACUCAAGCUCUUUGCUUGGUGUUGGGUGCCGUCCUCCGGGACGCACCUGGAAAUCAGCGGCGAUGCGGCCGGCGACCAGGCGUAGUAAACCACUUCCGCUUAGGUUCCCCGGGCGCGUUCGCCGGACAACCCUCCAUUUUUUAACUAUGGUUGACCUCGGAUCAGGUAGGGAUACCCGCUGAACUUAA